UUAUCUUAUUUUAUCCUCACAAUUAUCCUGGAAUAUAAGUGCUAUUAUUAUCUCCAUUUUACGGAUGAGAAAACUGAGGCAAAGAGAAGUUAAGUGAUGUCCAAGAUCACCCAGCUAAGAAGAACUUCCUUUUAUAAAUGGCUAAAACCACCCAUUUCCUUCAAUUGAUUCUUAUGUGCAGGGGACUCAAGGCUUGCUACCAUCCUGAUAAUUUUCUUCUGGAUCCUCUACUGCCUAUCUACAUCCUUCCUCAACUGUGAAGUCAAGAAUCGAACAAAAUAUUUCAGAUGUGCAUAUGUAGAAUGAGCCAGCUCUCCCUGCUGUUAUCUCUUGCCUUUGGGCAAACCGAACAUGAAAAAUAAGUUGGUGUUAUCCUCAAAGCCACUGGCAAUAGCUGCUGCUUGCUGCCCCCACAGCUCAGCAGUUCUGAUUUCUUUGACAUGGUAAGAAUAAAUGUGAUGAAGACGUGGUUUCUUCCA
rnacentral:lncRNA from 1 species